CGCCACCCACCCCUAAGCUACAAUAGCCCAAGAUAUUUGUUUGAGCAACAAUAACUUAGCCAUUGGGUUUUAUCUUAUUUCUAUCUCCUCAAAACUCUCCCUAAGAAUGAAAGGCUCACUCCCCGUGAAAACUCUCACAUGCUACAAGUUCCUCUCCCAAAACCUUCCCCCAAGCCCUCUUGAAACCCCCUCACCCUUGCCCUCGUGAAAGCCCCUUUCUCAAAACCCUCGCCCUUGCCCUCACGAAAGCCCCUCUAGCUCCCUCUUGUUCACUCCAGCAUUCAUUGAAUGAUUGAUGACAAUGAGACUCCACGGUCCAUCUUAGCAAACAUGCCUCUUCCCCUCGACUAAUGGUUUCACAAAUUGAUGAAGACCCAAUCUUCACCACUCUUGUGCAAAAUGAUGGAGAAGUGCAUAUUAAGGCACAACCAAAAUGGCAAGUGCAUAUGGGUCACUUGUCAACAUGGAGAAAGGGAGUAUGCCCUACCAUUCCAAAGUCUAUACAAAUAGGGGAUGGCAACAUUUACAAGAGCAUGUAUGUCAAUGCCAAGAGACCACCAGGCAAGAAAGAUGAAAAGGUAAGGAACAUAAAAAGAAAAUACAAAGAAUUGUCACCUACUGAUUUUAUUGAUGUAUUAAGUUACAUGGAAAGUUAUAGGAAGAUAUUGAUGACUGAGAGACAAGAAGUAGUAAGCCAGGCUGAGAGGGACAAGUCUGAAUUGAUACACCUUAACAAGAAGAAGAAGAAGAAGACGAAGAUGAUGCAUAAGAACAAGAUGAAUAUGGAAAUCAUGAGUUUGGAUGUUGAUAAGAUAAAUGCGGUGUAGCGAAAAUACUUCGAAUGUGAAUCGUUGAGAAGCAAAAGAAUAUGUCACCAUCUCAAUCUUAAUAUAUUUGGUGUUUGUUUUUAUACAUUGUAGUGGCUGGGGUAACUUUAACUUUUGUAUGAUAACUUGAUCUUUCGAUGCAUAAUUUGAGGUAUGGUAACUUUUGAUGGCA